GCUCCCUGAUGUUAGCGGCGGACGGGUGAGUAACACGUGGGUAACCUGCCUGUAAGACUGGGAUAACUCCGGGAAACCGGGGCUAAUACCGGAUGCUUGAUUGAACCGCAUGGUUCAAUUAUAAAAGGUGGCUUUUAGCUACCACUUACAGAUGGACCCGCGGCGCAUUAGCUAGUUGGUGAGGUAACGGCUCACCAAGGCAACGAUGCGUAGCCGACCUGAGAGGGUGAUCGGCCACACUGGGACUGAGACACGGCCCAGACUCCUACGGG
rnacentral:rRNA from 1 species